GACUGGCUAAACCGAGCUUAGAUUUGAAGAAUCAGUCGCUGGCGUUUUUCGUCUAAAGCCUCGAGUCUUAUUGCUUCGAAUAACUUGACAUUUUAAUCAUUACUAAGUAAAACAACUUUAAUAAAAAUACAUGUCAGUUCGCUCGACUACACCAAAAGGAUGGUUAUAUUUUUGUAUGUAGGUAUAUUUAGGUCGGGCUCCGUUCUUGUUGAUUUAAAAUAUUUUUGUGUUUCAGAGAGAUUUCUUUUCUAUGUGGAUGGCGAAAGGGCUGGCGAAACGGGAUAUAUUCAUAGCUUUGCUGAAGACCUGGAGGACGAAGUCGAGCACGCGUCAAAAUGGCUGACAGGCACCAACAUGGCACCAUUUGAUCAGAUGUUCCACGUGACCCUCGGUCUUCGCGUGGGAGGAGUCAACGAGGUUUCCCGUGUAGAGAUACAGGAACACCCAUAUAUCAACCAGUUUGAAAUGCCUGACUUCUGGAAAUCAAAAGAAAAAUGGUACCCUACGUGGUCUGACGGAGCUAUGAAGAUAGACUAUGUCAGGGUUUACGCUCUUUAGAUGUUUUGCUCUUCAAGUAGCUAUGAAAAUAAAUGACAAGACGUCACGUUACGUUGGUCAAUGGCCUAUGAAAUACUUUAUGAUAAUAAACGCACAUUUUGGAAAUAUUUUCGUUAC
rnacentral:sRNA from 1 species